rnacentral:rRNA from 1 species
CCUACGGGUGGCAGCAGUGGGGCAUUUUGCGCAAUGGGGGAAACCCUGACGCAGCAACGCCGCGUGCUGGACGAAGGCCCUCGGGCUGUAAACCGCUUUCAGCAGGGAAGACGUCGACGGCACCUGCAGAAGAAGCCCCGGCUAACUACGUGCCAGCCGCCGCGGUAAUACGUAGGGGGCGAGCGUUUUCCGGAUUCAUUGGGCGUAAAGCGCGCGUAGGCGGCCGCCUAAGCGGAACCUCUAACCCCGGGGCUCAACCGCGGGCCGGGUUCCGGACUGGGCGGCUCGAGUGCGGUAGAGGAGAGCGGAAUUCCCGGUGUAGCGGUGGAAUGCGCAGAUAGCGGGAAGAACACCGAUGGCGAAGGCAGCUCUCUGGGCCGUCACUGACGCUGAGGCGCGAAAGCUGGGGGAGCGAACAGGAUUAGAUACCCGUGUAGUC